ensembl:lncRNA
GCCUUUUUCCACGCCAAGUGAGGGUGGGUGGUUGGAGCCCAGAACAGGGGGCACCUGUCAUCCCUUCCAGAAUUUGCCUUUUUCCAUUGCCUCCCUGUAGAACUUCUCUCCUCCCUUGAAGACUUUGCUUCUCCUAGAACCUCUCUCAGACUCAUCAGUCUCCUUCCCAAGUUCCGUGCAACCUGGAAAUGUCAGUGUUCCCCAGAGGUCUGCCCUUAAACCUGCAGGCUGGUGGGGUGUCCUCACGGGUUCCUACCCACUGGGAAAGCCUUUCCCUGGAAGAUGCUGGGUCUUCAUCUGCUCCCACGUCUGGAGGUACAGCACAGACAGCUCUUGAAGAAAUGGAUGUCUAAUGGGUACUUUGAAGAGGACCUCACUCUACUCUGUUCCUGGGCUCCCAUCACCAUGAAUGCUGUCCCUAUCCACCUCAAGCUCCAGAGACAGAAAAUUCAGUCAUCUUUACCUUCUCUCCUUAAAUCAUUCUACUGAAUAUUCUGCUGUUCUGUUCUGGAAAGGUUUCACCCAUCUGUCCCUUCUCCCACCCUCUUGCCAUUGCCUUAGCUCAGGCCACCUUCAACUCAAGGCAACGGCUUCAGUCUGUCCUCUCUUCCCUCUUCUUGCCUUUAAAUAUCCUCUACACCUACCACAGGGAUCUUUCUAGAACCCCCACCUGACUACAUCGUUCCCCUGUUGCAAAGCCUUCAUAUACACUCAUCAACCUCAGGAUAGAGUCUGAGCUCCCUAGGGAGGCACUGGUGGAGAAGGAAAUGGCAACCCACUCCAGUAUCCUUGCCUAGAGAAUCCUGUGGAUGGAGGAGCCUGGUGGGCUGCUGUCCAUAGGGUCUCACAGAGUCAGACACGACUGAAGCGACUUAGCAGCAGCAGCAGCAGCAGCAGGAAAGCACUGGAAGCCCUGCCCAACUUGUCUUCAUCUGAACCUCCCUCCUUCCUGCCCUGCAUUUCAGCCACAUUUCAUGUCCUUUCCCUGAACACACUACACACUUUCUCAUCCCUGGAUUUUUCUGCUAUAAUUUGUCUCUGACUGCGAUAUACUUCCCUUUCUCCCCAUGGGAGCUAUAACCAUUCCUUAAAGAGUCCUCUCAAGGCUGACUCCUCGGGAAGUCUUCCUCCCUGCCUCACCCCAGCGAGCCAACUUCCUCCCUCCUUUGUGCUCCCAGAACACCUUUGCCUCUUGGCUAACUGGACCCUGAAGCCUCCUGAUUGUAGGAUCUCCCUCCGCACCCUUGUCCCAGCAUGGCAUGACAUGGUGGGCUCCAGGAGUGAAGAUCAAGUCCAGUGGCCUUUCUCAUGGGGACCCUCGGUGACUCACUGCCUAAAUCUAGUUUGCUUCUUGACCAAUCCAAGACCCUUUAAGACAAAAUUUUAAUUUUUUUCUUUUUUGGAUGUAGACAGCACUUCACAGUUUACAAGUGUUUCCAGGUUUAUUUUCUCGUUCCAUGGUCUUUACCCCUCUGUGGAUUGUCAGGGAC